rnacentral:rRNA from 1 species
AUUCCGGUUGAUCCUGCCGGAGGAUAUUGCUAUUGGAAUCCGAUUUAGCCAUGCUAGUCGCACGGGUUAGACACCGGGGGGAACAGCUCAGGAACACGUGGCCAAACUGCCCUGUGGACGGGGAUAAUCUCGGGAAACUGAGGCUAAUCCCCGAUAGGGCUUCCAUCCUGGAGUGGAGGAAGUCCAAAAGUUGCGCUGCGGCAUCCACAGGAUGUGGCUGCGGCCGAUUAGGUAGACGGUGGGGUAACGGCCCACCGUGCCAGUAAUCGGUACGGGUGAUGAGAGUCAGAGCACCGGAGACGGAAUCUGAGACAAGAUUCCGGGCCCUACGGGGCGCAGCAGGCGCGAAACCUUUACACUGCACGGAAGUGCGAUAG